UCCGAGUUGACCCCGGCAGUCUCCUACGAGUCCCCGGCAUUACCCGCUGGCAACAUAGGACAAGGGUUGCGCUCGUUGCGGGACUUAACCCAACAUCUCACGACACGAGCUGACGACAGCCAUGCACCACCUGUGCUGGGCCCCGAAGGACACCACAUCUCUGUAGCUUUUCCCAGCAUGUCAAACCCAGGUAAGGUUCUUCGCGUUGCCUCGAAUUAAGCAACAUGCUCCGCUGCUUGUGCGGUCCCCCGUCAAUUCCUUUGAGUUUUAGCCUUGCGGCCGUACUCCCCAGGCGGGGCACUUAAUGCGUUAGCUGCGGCACGGAUCCCGUUGAUAAGGACCCACACCUAGUGCCCAACGUUUACGGCGUGGACUAC
rnacentral:misc_RNA from 1 species